UACGAACGCUGGCGGCGUGCUUAACACAUGCAAGUCGAACGGGCCUGUCUUCUUUUUUGGGGGUGGGUUGAGUGGCGAACGGGUGAGUAUCACGUGAGUAACCUGCCCUUCGGUCCUGGAUAACUGCUUGAAAGGGCGGCUAAUCCGGGGUGGUCCGGGUGGUCCGCAUGGGCUGGUCGGGAUAGAUUCCUUGUUUUGGGUGUUUCGGCGGGGGUUGGGGUCGCGGCCUAUCAGCUUGUUGGUUGGGUUAUGGCCUUCCAAGGCGCUGACGGGUAGCCGGUCUGAGGGGGUGGGGGGUGAAAGGGGGACUGAGCUACGGCGCAGAGACCUGCGGGAGGCAGCAGUGGGGGGUAGUGCAGUGUGGGAGGAAGCCUGAUGCAGCGACGUCGGGUGCAGGAAGGAGGCGUUCGGGUUGUGAACCUUUGUUUCCGGUGGUGAAGGCCCUGGUCGUGUGGUGUGGUUGACGGUAGCCGGGGAUGAAGCGCCGGCUAACUACGUG
rnacentral:rRNA from 1 species